AUGGUGGCCGCGCUGGGCCCGUGGCUGCUGGCCUUAGCUUUGGUCUUGGGGUCGGCAGGGGUGUGGGCGCAGGGCAGUCUGGAGGAGACCGGCGGAGGGCUGCGAGCGCCUGGGGACUCCGUGCUCCUCUCCUGCCGCGGAUACGGCUUCAGGUGGGUGGGUAGAAGCAUUUGGUGGUAUCGUCAAGUACCCGGAGGCAGACUCGAGUGGGUGUCAUACAUCAGCUUUGAUUCUUCAGUCAUUAAAUUUGUGCAAUCCGUGGAAAGACGAGCUAAUAUCUCCCGGGACAAUUCCCGUUCUGAGUCAUCUCUGUUGCUGAGUGCCCUGCAGCCUCAGGACUCUGCUCGCUACUUCUGCACAGCACCUCUUCUUCACACGGAGACAAGAAAAGCAGCCGAGCUUUAACAGAAAGCUGUUGUGUCCGCCCAGAGUGCAAAAGCUGUGGGACGAGUGAGUGCUGCAACGUCGAGGCCCAGGAACCUCCUUUUCCCGGGGCCCCGCGCUCUUCCUGUGCCCGCAGCCCAACCAGCGAUAUCUCCGCUCCUUGUCCUGCUGCGAAGUGAACGCGGAACCUCCGGGGCGGGGCGGUGGGAGGCGGACAGAGGCACUGGGGGGAGCAGGAUUCGGUCCGUGCUCGACUCCGCUAGGAUCUUCUCAGGCUCCCGCAUGAUGCUGCCCGCGCUGGGUCCGUGGCUGCUGGCCUUGGCCUUGGGGCUGGCAGGUGAGUGAAUGGCGGGGAGGGCAGCAAGAAAGGGAGAGGGACAGGGGAGGUUCUGCAACA